AGUUUCGGGGCCUUCAUCAGACGACACGCUGCCCAUGAGUUGUCGCGACGGCCUCGACCCUCGUAAGUCUGACGGGGAAUCUUCGUUCUUCAUGUUGCCGCAAAUCACACAGCACGAACAAAACUAAUAACUUUAUAGAAUAAGUACGGGUGCAAGAGAAAGCUUCAGUACGGUUAACAUUUCGCAAGAUAUCUUGUACUAAACGGAGGUCGUAUUGCGAGGCAUGAACGUGCGACACGGACGACGCCGGCGGCUGACUGCGGUGUGAGUGCACGUGGGCAACGAUCCGAUAUCAUAACAUAUUCGCCUACUUCAAACCUAAACAGUUCGACUUUUGAAGCCUUAUGAACAUGAACAGAAUGAAAACAAAACACAUUUUCUUUGAAGACUUCAGGUUCUGUGACGGAUUAUCAUUGAUUAUGUAUAUAAUCUACUGUUGCCUUACUAGUCUCUUGAUACAAUGUUUUCAAUGGAAUGUAAGUGUAUUUCUGGAAAUUAUUUUUAUGCAUAAAUUAUGAAAUUUAAAUUAACCUUUAAUUUUUAAUGAAGUAAUUUUUAAUUUUCGAUUAAAUUAUGAUUUCUAUGGUAGAUACUAGUUACACACUGAAAUUCGUUAAGCCAGUUUUUGAGAAAUAAUCAUUUCAUUAUUUUCUAUUAAAGAGAGAAUCUGUUGUGGAAGGUGGUUGAAAACAAAUAGUAGGUAGUGUAAUUAAUAAGUCUGGUAGAUCAUCAAACCAGGUUUUAUCCAUCCUUAUUUUUAUAAAAAUAAUAACUGUCUUAUACUUGAAAAUACUAAUAUUUUUUUAAAAAAGUAAUUCAAUAUAGUAUUUAUGAUAACAUGCAUAUUGUCACCAAUUUCAAAGAAAAAUAAUCUAUAACAUAACUUUGAAAAUAUUUUAAAUUUAUUUUAUAUCUCUUCAUUAAUUUUGCUCAAAAUAAAAAUAGAUAUAGAUAUUGUUCUUUUAACCAUCAUGUUCCUGGGUCGUUUUAUUAUAUGAAUUAUUAAGUGAACUAUUAUGGCCUAUUGUGAGCCUAAACAUAUAAGUGCCACCUUGCUGCUUAUUUCUGCAUUAACAAGGUAUACAUUUAAGUCUGAAGCAACUAAAGCUCCAAUGAAAAAUAGAAAAGUGAGAAAAAAGAAGCAAUUCAAGUUAGACUCCAUGUCUCAAGUAAUAUCUAAAAGAUCUGGUAAACAAUUUAGUGGGUAUAAGGUACACAUCAAGAUUUAUAAAAAAAUUAUGUCUUGAAGGUGUAAUUUAUGGACUUAUAAUAAUUUAUAUCCAUGAACGAAAAAUUCAAAGAUAUACAGACAGUUAUAUGAAACAUUAACAUUCUUUUAGCUAAAAGAAUGUUAAUGUAAUCUUAAUGCUUAAAAAAUUUUUUUUUUUCUUAAGUUAUAGGCAUCAUAACUAUAUAUUAAGAAUAUGGUUAUGGGUUAUCUUGACAAUUCAAUCAGUAACAAAACUAAGAAGAAUUGUAAAGUAACCAGGGCAAGAAUUUACAAAAUCUAUGAAUUUGAAGUGGAGUUUUUUGUUUUGUUUUAUAUGAGUUUUAUAAAUUAUUUUAUAAAUGACAACCCUUUAAACUUUAAUGUCCUGUCUCAAAAGUCACAAAAUUUUAAAGAUAACAAAAUAGAUACAAUAUUCUAUUUAAUAAUUAUAUAAAUAAAUAAAUAAUAUUAAGAUACAAA